rnacentral:rRNA from 1 species
AACGAACGCUGGCGGCAGGCUUAACACAUGCAAGUCGAACGCAUCCUUCGGGGUGAGUGGCAGACGGGUGAGUAACGCGUGGGAACGUGCCCUUCAGUUCGGGAUAACCCAGGGAAACUUGGGCUAAUACCGGAUACGUGCGAGAGCAGAAAGAUUUAUCGCUGAAGGAUCGGCCCGCGUCUGAUUAGCUAGUUGGUGGGGUAAUGGCCCACCAAGGCGACGAUCAGUAGCUGGUCUGAGAGGAUGAUCAGACACAUUGGGACUGAGACACGGCCCAAACUCCUACGGGAGGCAGCAGUGGGGAAUAUUGGACAAUGGGCGCAAGCCUGAUCCAGCCAUGCCGCGGGAGUGAUGAAGGCCUUAGGGUUGUAAAGCUCUUUCGUCCGGGACGAUAAUGACGGUACCGGAAGAAGAAGCCCCGGCUAACUUCGUGCCAGCAGCCGCCGUAA